rnacentral:rRNA from 1 species
CCUACGGGAGGCAGCAGUGAGGAAUAUUGGUCAAUGGCCGGAAGGCUGAACCAGCCAAGCCGCGUGAAGGACGAAGGUGCCAAGCAUUGUAAACUUCUUUUGUCAAGGGACAAAAUCAGGCUCGAGAGCCUGACCGAGGGUACUUGAAGAAAAAGCAUCGGCUAACUCCGUGCCAGCAGCCGCGGUAAUACGGAGGAUGCGAGCGUUAUCGGGAUUUAUUGGGUUUAAAGGGUGCGUAGGGGGGCUGUUAUGUCAGCGGUAAAAGCCCGGGGCUCAACCCCGGCGAGCCGUUGAAACUGGCUGUCUUGAGUGGUGGAGAGGUAUGCGGAAUGCGGAGUGUAGCGGUGAAAUGCUUAGAUAGUGGGCAGAACUCCAAUUGCGAAGGCAGAAUGCCGGCGGCUAUCUGACGCUGAGGCGCGAGAGCGUGGGGAUCGAACAGGAUUAGAUACCCCUGUAGUC